GAUGAACGCUGGCGGCGUGCUUAACACAUGCAAGUCGAACGGAAAGGCCCAAGCUUGCUUGGGUACUCGAGUGGCGAACGGGUGAGUAACACGUGGGUGAUCUGCCCUGCACUUCGGGAUAAGCCUGGGAAACUGGGUCUAAUACCGGAUAGGACGACGGUUUGGAUGCCAUUGUGGAAAGUUUUUUCGGUGUGGGAUGAGCUCGCGGCCUAUCAGCUUGUUGGUGGGGUAAUGGCCUACCAAGGCGUCGACGGGUAGCCGGCCUGAGAGGGUGUACGGCCACAUUGGGACUGAGAUACGGCCCAGACUCCUACGGGAGGCAGCAGUGGGGAAUAUUGCACAAUGGGCGCAAGCCUGAUGCAGCGACGCCGCGUGGGGGAUGACGGCCUUCGGGUUGUAAACUCCUUUCGCUAGGGACGAAGCGUUUUUGUGACGGUACCUGGAGAAGAAGCACCGGCUAACUACGUG
rnacentral:rRNA from 1 species